AGGGGGGGGGGGGAGAAAUCAGGAAAAAUGAGUUUGUGAAGUGGAAUAAUGAAGAUAGAAGCUGAGAGGAUAUACAGAGAUAGGCAAAAUUAUUAGUUGAAACUUGGAAGUUAAUUAAGCUGGUUGGUUUAUUGUGUGAUCUGAUUCACAUAAUAAUGAUAUGAGAGGGCUGAGAGGAGAAAGUUUAUCGGAGCCAAAAGAUAGUUAUUGUAUACCAAUCAUAUAUGAGUAUGACGGACUUUAC
rnacentral:lncRNA from 1 species